rnacentral:lncRNA from 1 species
GCUGGAUAUGGGAGUCUGGGGCUAAGAGGAGGGGUGUUGGCUAGAUAUAUAAGCUUUGAAGUCAUCAGCCUAUAAAUAUUGACAAAACAAGUGAGGUGGCAGAGGAAUUAGUGAACAUAGAAAAAAAAGAGGUCUGAGGAUUGAGAUCAGAGGCAUGCCCAUAUAUUAAAGAUUAAGGAACAGAGGAAGAAUCCACAAAGGAGAUUGAGAAGGAGUAGUCAGGGAGGUAGAAAGCAAGCCAAGAGACUGUCUCAAGUAGAAGGGAAUGAUCAACUGCUGACUGAUUAAGUAAGAUAAGGACUGAGACUUAGCAACAUGGAGGUCAUCAGUGAUUUUUGACUAGCUCAACCUGUGAGAGUGAAAACAUGACUGAAGUGAGUUCAAAGGGAAGUGGAGGAGUGGUCUUAGAGACAGUGAAUGCAGUCAGUCCUUUAAAUUUUGUCCUGAAGGGGAGUCGAGAUAUGAUAUAAGGAAAAGAUUUUCAUUUUUCCAAUGGAAGAUAAUAUAGCACAUUUACUUGCUGGUGAGAAUGAUCCAAGAGAGGAGGAAAAAACUGAUAAAAGACAGGGAAAGAAGGGACAAAGUACAAUUACUAAAACUUUCAAGGAAGGGGAAGAAACUAAGACUAUAAGUAGAGGGAUUGUCUUAGCUCAGGGGAUGGAACAUGUGUGUACUGUAGCACGCAGGGUGCACUAACAGAUGCAAGUGAAUGUGGUGAUGGGAAUGAGGAGGGGCAUUUUCAGGUUGCUUUAAUUUUCUUAGUGAAUUUGGAGGUAAGGGCAUGAACUUGAAAUGAGGGUGGAAAAGGAGAUAUUGUAGGAAAAGAUACAAAAUAGUCAUUUAGGAGGGUGGGAGAGGAACUAAACAAGGAGAAUGGGGCAGUAAAUAGACUAGGAAGAUGUAGUGGGAUUGCUGAAUAGCACAAAAGUCUCACCGGAGGUGAGUGAUAACGAGUUUAAAUCAGGACCGCCUGGUUUGGAUGUGUAUUUUCUCCUGCCAUAUUAAGCUGCAGGCAUGUGCAAACAUCAUGUGUGGGGAAUUGAAUUAAGCCAGGACUGGGUCCUUUUCAAGAAAAUACAAUGAAAGGAGAGAAGGGCAAGAGAGUUGAAAGUGUAUGCAAGGGAAUUUAUACUGAUGGACUGUAGAAUCUACACAGGGUAAGGACGCGAGGUGAGUGCGGGACAGUGAAAAGGUGGUGGCAUCAGAUUAACUAAUUUUCAGUCCCAAAGGACCAGAAAUAUUUUAGGAAUUGGGAUGUUAGUGGGAAUAAACUAUUAGGUUGGUGCAAAAGUAAUUUUCUUGUUUGUUUGGUUUUUUGUUUGUUUGUUUGUUUUGCCCUUACUUUUGCACCAACCUAACAGGAAAAAUCAGUGGUUAUGGUCAGAAAGUGGGAAGCUUGAAGUUGAGAUUAUCAAGUUAAUAUCAGUGCAGUCAUUGGUAAUGAUAAGUUCUAGGAUCUAAGCAAUGGGAAGAAAGAAGUUGGCUGAAGAAAUGAUGGAAAUUAAUUAUAUAAUUGAAGAAAAAGAAGUCAAGGCACUGAGAGCAUGUUCAGUUGGCAGAAAUUCCAUGACAGCAUCUACAAGGGCAUAUUGGAGAGAGUGAGGCCCCAGCCUGCAUCCCUUUCUACAGAAGUAACAACAAUUUCCAGUUUCUGAGCCUUUCCAGGGUUGUACAUCAUUUCAGAGAGGCUUCAGGAUGGAGUUGUGAUAAACGCAUGUGUUCAGUCUACAAUGUUUAACAGGGAGUGCCUCUUGAUUUUUUCAUGUGAAUUACUGAGGAGUAGGUAGUAGACUAUCUUGAUGCCCUUCCUCAUGUCCCUUUGACUCUGAGUUGACCUGCAGCUGCAGUGAACACUUCCUAAGGAUGCUGAUGUCUUCCCCUAUCAAGCACUUGCCUCAUUCUGCUUCUCCGAGGAUUUCCUCCAGUACACCAAGAGCUUGCCCGACACUCACAAGGUAUCCUGGAACUGCUGGGGACUGAAAACCCCUCAACCCAUGAAGAAUGAGGAUCAGUGGAUUAAUAGCAACUGUCCCAUACCUUGGUGGGACUAUUAUAAGGCAUUCUGGUUGGUUCCUCAGAGGUCCCAAAUGGGAUUGAACCAAAGUUGCCCACAGUAAAAACUCAUUCACCAACUCAAUUUUCAUUUCACCCCUCUCAAUUUGCACACUCACUCACUUGUUCUACCUGGGAUACUCUCCAAGAUAAACUCCUGUAUCCAAAGCUUUGUCUCAAGGUCUCAUUUGGGAGGAACUCAAACUAAGAUAAUAGGUACUGGAAGUGACUACAGAAAGUAUAUUAUCAAUGGUAUGGAGGCAACAAAAACCCCAUUAAUGGUGGUGAGUAAGGUGGUGACAAACCCUGGCACUUUGAAGAAUUUCAUUACCCACAAUUGACCCAUGGUGUACUUGGAUGAGGUAAAAAUGAAAGGAGACGCUAACCUUAUGCAAUAGUGCUAACUCCUGAAAGAUAUAGGGCUGUGAUAAUCACAGGAAUUGAAGAGUUGUCUUGUUCUUGUUAACUCCCCUAGAAGAAUUGGGAAAAAAGAAAGAUAGGUUUACAACAUCCAACUACCCAUUCAGAGCAUAGCAAUGAAAGCCAGAAGGUCUCCUUGGGAGAAUCUGAAGAGACCCCCAUUUCCUGCAACCAGAGGGCAGGCUGUUCUAAAAAAAUGACAUUCAGGGGUUCACUGCAAGAGGAAUUGAACUACAGAGCAGACUGAAGACACAGUCCAGGCAGGCCUCUCAUGCAAAAGUCAAAGCCCUAGAGGAAGGAAAUGGUCCUUAAAAACUACUGGGAUGCAGGCAGGCAUCUGGAUAGAUGUGCUAGAUAACCUUGAACCCCUAGAUUCCCUGAACAACCCAGGCUAGCAGGAGUAUCCUGCACCCUGUUACUUGAACAGAACAGCUUCCCUUUGCCUAGAGACUCUACACAGUCCUCCUCUGAAGCAGACACCUCCAAGAUUACUUCAAGGUCUGCUACUUCCUGCCCUCAUUGCCUCUAUUCCAAAAACUGGAAACAAGUCUCAGCAUGCCCUGAGCAGGGUAGCACAUUUCUUGCUGUGAGAGAUAUGACAGAUUGUAUUUUCUAAAGAAGGCUGCAACCAUGUCUCUCAUCCCAAAUGCUCUUCUACAAUGCAAUCUUGUCACUCCUCUACCAAGAGAUGAAACCUAAUUUCAAUGCCCUUGAAUCUAAGCUGGACUUUACUUGCUUUGACCUGUAAUGUACAGAAGUGACACUGUGUGAUUCUUACAGCUGAGUCAUAAAAGGUGAUGCAGCUUCUGCCUUGUUCCUGGGGACAUAUGCCUCUGUGAGAUUGAGCUACUAAAUAACAAGACCACCUACCUUGAGGCUGCCAUGCUGGAAGAAAGCAAAGCCACAUGAAGAGCAAGUAAGCUGGUUGCUUUAGCAAGAUCCUUCAUAUUGAUAGUGAAUGUGCACUUCUGUCUUUCUCUUGUGAAUGCAAACCACUUUUUCAAUAGUCUCACGUUAAGUGCCAAAGAUUGUUGUUUUUGUUGAAUGCAUUCUCUUUAUCAUUCACUACCUGGCCCUAGGAAUUUGUUCAAUGAUCCUCAUUUCUGUUACAAUAUAGUCUUCAGUGACCUUGAUCAUCUUCACAUUCUAUAGAACAUCAUCCUGGCCCAUUAUAUUAAUGACAGAAUAAUAAUUGAACUUGGUUUUUAGGAAGGAGCAAGUAUACUGGUUUUAAAUACUUCAUGCUGAAGGAAUGAGAGAUAAGCCCUACAAAGUUUUGGAAGUCUGCCACAUCAGGGAAUAUUUUAGGGGCCCAAAGAUCCAGGGGUAUGUUGAGACACCCUACUCAAAAGAAUACUUUACAUUUCCUACCACUAAGACAGAGGCACAGCACUUGGUGAGCUGCUUUGAAUUCCUGAGGCAAAAAAAUAACAAUAAUAAAUACUACCCAUGAGAAUAAUGCUCUGAUCUAUUGUAUCAGAAGACUAUUGACUUUGCGGGGGUCUGAGAGAGUAUCUGAAUAGCCUUUUAAAGACUUAAAAAGGCAUUGGCUUAGGAAUUGCACCUUGCAUGGCUAGGUCAUUGUCCUCGAGGAUACAGCAUAUUUGUUGAACCAGUGAUCACUAUAUGCAAUCACUGUGCUGUUUUCCCAGCAUUUGGAAUACACAGGAAUGAUAAUUAAAGGAUACAAGUAGGACUGACUUAAACACACUCCCUUUCACCCAUUAGUGGAAAUUAUGUUUUUAAUUCUUACAACUUUAGGCUCUUCCUGAUUAAAAGCCUUGGUCUCAAGGUGUGUGUACAGACGGAGACAGUAAGUGUUCCACUGCAUCAAUGCAGUGCCAUCUGAGGAUUUGGGCAUCUCCAUACUGACAGGUCAGCAGGCAAAAAUGGGAGUACUAUACUGGCAGGGACACCUGACUGAUUAUCUUGAAGAGUCGGAGUUGCUGCUACAUAAUGGGCCCAGGGAGGAAGAUGUCUAGAACUUGGGGGAAUCACUCAGGCCCCCCUUAGUGCUUCUUUGUCUGGCGAUAAUAGCAGAGAAGCAAUUGAAGUAGCCAUGUCCUCACAAGGGCAAGGUAAUCAAGGCCCAGCCACUCAGAGAUGAAGGUCUGGUCAUACACUGAGCAAGCAAUGAUGACUAGUGGAAGUGCUAGCCAAGGAUUCGGGAAAUCUAGAAGAAGUGGAAUUGGAGAGAGAUGAUGAGUAUAGAUUAUAGCCUUGGGACCAGCUGCAGCAGUGAAGAUUGUGACUUGUUCCACAUAUUCUUCUAUUUUCAGUCAUUUUUGGAGAUUGCAGCCAGCUACAACUCUGAAAUGUCAGUAACAGAGCAAACUAAGGGUGGGCAUGAGAGGAUCUGCUGAGAGCAAGGAAUGAACAUGGUAGUCACUAAUGAUACACUGCCCAUGUUCCCCGGCUCACCUGUUAGCUCCCCGGCAGCUUGCAAACAUGUCUAUACACACUGCCAUCUUCCUACCACGAGUGCCAUAACUCUCUGCUUCUCUGCUGAGGCCCUUCUCAGCUCACAGUGCGAGUAGCCUGCAAGUGCUAAGGGCAUAAUGCCUCCAAGGUCAACUUUAAUCAACGAGGUUCAAGAGUCAGAAGAGUGAAUUCCUUCUGAGAUACAUUCUUUCUGGUUUCUCAGAGGCUCCCCAGAGGAAGUAGGCCCCAGUUGCUUAGGAAAAAUGGAACCUACUUAUUAAGGCACCCCCUUUUUACUUUUCUCCUUUCUUUCUCUCCCUUUCCCCACUCCAUUCCGUGAAGUUCCUGGGAUCACCAAAUAAACUAUCUGUAAUCAAAUCUUUAUCUCACUCUGCAUUCUGGGGAACCCAAACAAAGAUGGUAAGUUUGCCUAUCUACAUUUAUGUCUUAUUUGCUACAAGUAUUACUGGUAAUUUUCUUGACAAAAGUAAUAUGAUAUCUGCUGAUAGGCCAAAAUAAUACAUAUUUAUAGUGAUAACUGCAGCAAAAAUGUGAAAACCAAUUUUAAAAAGUUAUUUUCACUAGUUUAAGAAAAA